rnacentral:rRNA from 1 species
GAAACCAACAGGGAUUGCCUUAGUAACGGCGAGUGAAGCGGCAAUAGCUCAAAUUUGAAAUCUGGCGCUUGGGUCCGAGUUGUAAUUUGUAGAGGAUGAUUUUGGUUAGGUACCUUUCGAGUUCCUUGGAACAGGACGCCUUAGAGGGUGAGAGCCCCGUACGAUUGGAUGCCGAGCCUCUGUAAAUCUCCUUCGACGAGUCGAGUAGUUUGGGAAUGCUGCUCUAAAUGGGAGGUAAAUUUCUUCUAAAGCUAAAUACCGGCCAGAGACCGAUAGCGCACAAGUAGAGUGAUCGAAAGAUGAAAAGCACUUUGAAAAGAGGGUUAAAUAGCACGUGAAAUUGUUGAAAGGGAAGGAUUUAUGACCAGACUUUUUCUAGGAGGAUCAUCCGGUGUUCUCACCGGUGCACUUCUUCUAGUUUAGGCCAGCAUCGACUUUCGGCGGCGGAUAAAAGCUUUAGGAAUGUGGCUCCUCUCGGGGAGUGUUAUAGCCUAUUGUAUAAUACGCUGCUGGGGGUCGAGGUACGCGCUUCUGCAAGGAUGCUGGCGUAAUGGUUAUCAAUGACCCGUCUUGAAACACGGACCAAGGAGUCGAACAUUUAUGCGAGUGUUUGGGUGUUAAACCCUCACGCGUAAUGAAAGUGAACGGAGGUGAGAGCCCUUACGGGUGCAUCAUCGACCGAUCCUGAAGUUUUCGGAUGGAUUUGAGUAAGAGCAUAACUGUUCGGACCCGAAAGAUGGUGAACUAUGCGUGGAUAGGGUGAAGCCAGAGGAAACUCUGGUGGAGGCUCGCAGCGGUUCUGACGUGCAAAUCGAUCGUCAAAUCUGCGCAUGGGGGCGAAAGACUAAUCGAACCAUCUAGUAGCUGGUUACCG